rnacentral:misc_RNA from 1 species
UUUUUUUUACAUCCCAAGGAAAAAAGAAAAGCUUUAUUCAAAUAUCGCCCAGCAACGAGGACAUUGAUGACAAAAUGAAAAGAAUUUUCCAAAUGACCUCUAUGAAAACCUAGUGGCUGUUGUGUCUGUUUCACAUAUUAUAACUCUUAAUCCUCCUCGACUAUUCUCAAAUCUCCUAUUUCAACCUUCCACCAUUUUCUCAGAAAACAGAAAUAUCAAUUAUAGGUCUUAUAUAACAAUCCCACAUAGAAUGUGCUUAACCUGUAUAUGAGGGACAAAAAUUUCAAAAAACUAUGGACCAAAAUUUUUAUCAUUCAUGAAAAAGAAUCAUGAGGUCAUAAUAGCAGUGGAAUAUAUUCAUGGAAACUUUGUGCCAAAGAGAGCAUUUGAUCCU